AUUAUACUCCCUCCAUCUGGAAAUACUUGUCAUAGAAAUGAAUGUAUCUAGAUGUAUNNNNNUUCUAGAUACAUCCAUUUUUAUACAUUUGUGCGACAAGUAAUUCCGGACGAAGGGAGUACUAU
rfam:Hordeum vulgare subsp. vulgare, WGS project CAJW01000000 data, contig: morex_contig_1574532